AAUUCAUAGUUAUUAGAUUGUGUUUUUCCGUCCUGUUAGGUUUAAGAAUUAUACACUCGUUUACUGUAUUGUUAGAGCGGUGAUUGUGUGCUUAGUUAUUAGAUUUUGCUUCUAUUCAAGAGCGUAGGGUUCAAUUUGAGUAUGUAUGUUCUUUUAUAUUUAGCUUUUGUUAUCGAAUUUCUAUAAAAUGUUAUAAUAUUGAUUUUUUAAUGAUCAGUUAACUACGUGAUUAUUUAAUAUAUAUUUUUAAUCUAAAAUGUGAUAUGUAAAAUAUAGAAGAAGAAAAAAUUAAAAAAUUAAAGAAAAAAAUUUCAGCCCACUCCAAUCUAAAAUCCUAGGUCCGCCAUUGUUCGUUCUAGUUUCUAGUCGCAAUAGUUCUAUCUGAUGAAGCGAUAUGGCUCAGUUCAUAUACAAGGGUGUCUUCCAUAUAUAGUUGCUUCGAGUUUUGUCUGUGUGCAUCCAAACUCGAGCUUAAAUCAAGACGAAAACAGUACCCUAAACCCUAUCGUUGCUUGGAUCUGAGGUUACAACUUUGAAAACGAUAUAUGAUGAGGACUAGAGCUUUCACAUGCAUACAUAAUGUUCCCGAAAUCAUUCCUGAUGUCAAGGCACUACUAAAACACAUCACUAAUUACUUCAAACAUGCUAGCUUGCUAGCUCCAAAUCAGAUCAUAGUACAUGAUUUAUAAUAUUCCAGCUGCUUGUAAUUCAAUAAUCAAAUUCGAUACCAAAAAGAUGAAAAAAUACAAUGUUUGAGUAAGUUUGUUUUCCUAUUAUUUGCAGGCAUGAUGCUGCAUCCUGGAUUUGUUCUAGGUUUUCAAGUCCUUCAAUUGAGUACAAUCUGGAUAAUGACUUGGUAUCUUUAGCCAUAUGUUUGUUUACUCAGGAUGACGGGAAAUUAUUAUUUGUACCCGGAACACCACCUGUUUUAUGUUCCUAUUUAAUUUCAUUGGUCCACGUGUUUUGUCCUUAUUUCUGAUUGGUGUAUUUAAUUACUUUUCCUUUUUUUUUCCACCCUGUGCUGGUCCCCACAUGAAUCUGAGUUAUAUGAUUGGCCGGGUACAACACCUGGCAGUGCCACAUAGUGUUCCGGGUACAGAGAAUAAUUACUCAUGACAAACUCUCCAUAUUUAACGCAGCUGAAUUAGGGCUAAUGAUGGUUGGGGUAGGGCCAUUUCUGCAUAAUAACCUAUCUGAGAGAAAGCGGAAGACAGUCUUUCUGGAUGGAAUCAUCGUUUUAAAUUUCUGGUUCAAAACUUAAUUUGAGAACAAAAUCUACGGAUUUUCCAUGAUGAGCAUGUUUCCCCUUUUGAAAAUAACAUCAACUUAAUUUAAACCUAGAAAAUCUGCCCGGCCCCGUCUAGCUAACUCAUUUCGAACUUUUUACACGAGCUGAAGUGGUUGGGGGUUUAGUUUUGCCUCCUAGUUUUACUUGGCUUCGAGUCAAUUACGGCGAUGAGCUCGUGAUUCAAUCAUAUCUACUCCCAACAGCUUUGCAAUUAGUUAGGGCUAAGGGAUAACAGAAAAACCGGGGCAUGAUCCUCUGCUAACUUUAGGCCUUGAUUCUUAUGUUUUCUGCGCAAAUAUAUAUGGUUUUAAAGUUGGGUUUUUAUCAUAGAUAGUUUAUGGUUAAUUGGUUAUGGUUGCCGUAAAAACUACAAGUAAAAGAUCUAAUUUUCUAGAAGCACUUUAAGUUUUGGACCAAUGUCGACAUACAUACAUGAGAUAUAGUGAUGGUGGAGACUAAGAGGUUAGCUAUUUUGGUUUUGCUUAUACUG
rnacentral:lncRNA from 1 species